rnacentral:pre_miRNA from 1 species
AUGUAGGGCAAUCUGUCUUUAAGUAAAGGUAAAUUACUCUAAAAGAAAUGAAUCCUAGAUAGUUUCUCCUUCAUGCCCAGCACCUUGU